rnacentral:rRNA from 1 species
GACGAACGCUGGCGGCGUGCUUAAAACAUGCAAGUCGAACGGACUUCUCAUGAAGCUUGCGAUUGAGAAGUUAGUGGCGGACGGGUGAGUAACGCGUGGGCAACCUGCCCCUGAGCCCGGGAUAACAGUUCGAAAGGACUGCUAAGACCGGAUAUACUUGCGGUGAAGCAUUUCACUGCAAGGAAAGGGAACGCUCAGGGAUGGGCCCGCGUCCCAUUAGCUAGUUGGUGAGGUAACGGCCCACCAAAGGCGACGAUGGGUAGCCGGCCUGAGAGGGUGAACGGCCACACUGGGACUGAGACACGGCCCAGACUCCUACGGGAGGCAGCAGUUGGGAAUCUUCGGCAAUGGGCGCAAGCCUGACCGAGCAACGCCGCGUGAGUGAUGAAGGUUUUCGGAUUGUAAAGCUCUGUCUUCCGGGACGAUAAUGACGGUACCGGAGGAGGAAGCCAACGGCUAACUACGUG